GCUCUGGGUUAGUCGGGUCCUAAGCUGAGGCCGACAGGCGUAGGCGAUGGAUAACAGGUUGAUAUUCCUGUACCACCUAGUAUCGUUUUAAUCGAUGGGGGGACGCAGUAGGAUAGGCGAAGCGUGCUGUUGGAGUGCACGUCCAAGCAGUAAGGCUGAGUGUUAGGCAAAUCCGGCACUCAUAAGGCUGAGUUGUGAUGGGGAGAGGAAAUUGUUUCCUCGAGUCGUUGAUUUCACACUGCCGAGAAAAGCCUCUAGAUAGAUAACAGGUGCCCGUACCGCAAACCGACACAGGUAGUCAAGAUGAGAAUUCUAAGGUGAGCGAGCGAACUCUCGUUAAGGAACUCGGCAAAAUGACCCCGUAACUUCGGGAGAAGGGGUGCUCUUUAGGGUUCACGCCCAGAAGAGCCGCAGUGAAUAGGCCCAAGCGACUGUUUAUCAAAAACACAGGUCUCUGCUAAACCGUAAGGUGAUGUAUAGGGGCUGACGCCUG
rnacentral:rRNA from 1 species